rnacentral:rRNA from 1 species
AUGUCAAUUAUGCUCAUCUCCACAUUCCUCGUUCUACUUGUUCCAGUUUGCUUGUAUCUCAGGGCUAGUUGUAGAUCAAAGAACCCAGCCGUGCUUCCCACAAACUGGCCAAUACUGCACAUGUUCCCUUCCUUCAUGGCCAACCUCCACAACCUCUAUGACUAUUUCACCCUGGUCCUCGCAAGAUCAGGCCACAACUUCAGGGCGCAUGGACCACCUGGCACUGGGAUGCGCUUCUUCAUCACAUGUGACCCUGCGAACGCCCGACACAUCUUCACGACAAACCAUGCCAACUUCCCCAAGGGCACGGAAUUCGCCGAUAUCUUUGAAAUCAUGGGUGGCAGCCUCUUCACCAUCGACGGUGAGCCGUGCCGCCGACAACGUGCGAAAGCCAAGAGCAUGCUCAGCAGCCCGCGGAUCGUUGCCAGUAUGGCAGCCUACCUCUGUGGCAAGGUGGAGAACAACCUCCUCCCAUUGUUCACCCGCAUGGCGAUCACCGGCACUUCAUUCGACAUGCAAGAAUUGAUGUCGAGGCUUAUGUUUGACCUGGCUGCUACGCCUCUCUUCAGUGUGGAUCCAGGGCUCCUAUCCUUGGACAUGCCACCCAUGGACGCAGCGGUUGCCCUUGACACGGUGAUGGAGGUGGGAUUUUUUAGGCUCAUGAUGCCAGCAUCUUGUUGGAAGUCGAUGAGGUGGCUAAAUAUCGGCCCUGAGAGAAAGCUUGACACGGCACGCAUGGUGCUACGAGAGCUCGUCCGGGAGAUGAUGGAGAAGAGGAAGAUCACCUCAUGUCGUUCUGGACAUGGCAAGGAACAAGAGAGUGUGGAUAUUAUUUCUUCCUUCCUCGAAGACCCAGACUACGCUAAUGUUGACUUGCUCCAUGCGGUGAUCAUUAGCUACAUGCUCGCUGCGAGGGACACAAUUGCCACAACCCUAACAUGGAUCUUCUACAACCUUGCCCAAAACCCUAACAUCGUGUCAAUCAUCCGCAACGAACUUUCACCCAUUGCAUCACGCAAAGUAGCGGUAGGCAUGUGUACCCCGGUGAUCUUUGAGCCAGACGAGACCAAAUCUCUAGUAUAUUUGACAGCCACCUUGUACGAGACUCUCAGGCUGUACCCACCAGCGCCUGUCUUGCGCAAGACGGUGGCCGUAGAUGACAUCAUGCCGAGUGGCCAUGAGGUGCAUGCCGGUGACACCAUUUUUAUUUCUGUCCACUCCAUGGGGAGAAUGGAGGUUGUGUGGGGUAAAGACUGCCUCGACUAUAACCCACAUAGGUGGCUCUCGGAUGAGGGCAACAACCUGCGAUACAUACCAUCUCACAAGUUCUUGGCAUUCAACUCAGGCCCGAGAAUGUGCCUCGGCAAGGACAUUGCAAUUAUGCAAAUGAAGACUGUCAUUGCUACAACGGUGUGGAACUUCGAUGUGAAUUUGGUGGAAGGGCAGAGCAUCCAGCCCAAGCCGUCCAUUAUACUGGAAAUGGAAAACGGGCUCAUUGUUAAGUUGAAGAAGAGAGACAUAUAA